UCUCCACUUCCCAUUUUUAUGAUUUUUUCUCAAUAUGAAAUUUUGACAUCUGUUUUGUUAUAAAAAUGAAUAUUAGCUUUAUUUAUGGAGAAUCAAAUAUAGACAGAAUGUCGAGCAAAACAUUAAUCUUAAUUAAAUGCAUUUUCCAUUGUAAUGAAGUUUCCACAAUUCCUAUAUAAUUAGGGCAAAAUAUAAUUACAUUGAAGAGAUUCAGUGCUCUUCAGUGAAACCCUUAUAUGAGAGUACACAUGCACACAUGCAUGUAUGCAUAUACAGGAUCCAUUUAGUAUUAAUCAAUUUAAUUUGAAGCCUCUUCUUGAAAUUCCUAAUAGUUUAGAUUUCCCACACUCCCAUAAUUGGCUGAUAAAUCACACAUGAAAACGUAAGUGUUUUGGAUUUCACUUUGGGUCGGGUGGUGACAAACACUAGUGCUAUUACUCACAAAUUUUCUUCCAAGUGUCGAUCUCCAGUGUUUCUUGCCACUUGCAUUUGCUGAGCUUGUCUUUAUUGCUGCUGCAACGGGCUCGAUUAACAAAAUAUAUAGCAGAGAGAUGUGCACAUUUUUGCUUUAUUUCCUUUUUGCUCUCCAGAACAAAGAGAUUUGAAGAUAUACCCAUUAAUAAGCAGUUUGUUUGUGCUGUUUAGUGUAAUUUAAGAAUAUCUAGUAUAGGAAUUUUCCAGAAACUAAUUACCACCAUUUUUGUGGCUUUAAAAUUCAGAGAGCCUGCCGCCACAGAGACUCUUUUGAGACUGAAUUUAGAUGGAAAAGAAUUGUGCGUGUACCUGGCCAGCACUGAAUGUGCAGCAGAACUGCUGGAUCCAUGCCACCCUGAAGUUUGCCUUUUCUUUAGGAGGCAACAUGGUCUUACCAAGAACCCACUUUCCUACGUGGGUCAGAAGCGGGGCACAGGAAGAUGUCACAUCAGCACGCGAGCUGGGACGUUUCAAAGGCCUGUUGAAGACUGGAUGGGGAUGGGGGGCAACAUAAAUUAGUGUGAAUGAUGAUGAGUCUGAUGCCAGGAUGAGUGGGGCAAAACUCUCCUAGAUUUCAAUGGUGCAGGGGCAAGUCCUCCACUCCUGAAGUCACAAACUGGAUUCCACCAGCCUCACGGAAGAGGAGCGGUCUCUCCAACCCCAUCGCUCAUCCCAGCUGGCAGGGCGUUCAACCCGAGUAAGGAUGGCAGAAUUGGGGUCUCUCCUUGCAGUGACACAGAACAAGGCAAUGACAUCUGAAUGAGACGUGUCAGUUAUUCCCAUUUCUACCAUCACGGUGCCCACAGGCCCCAAGUGGUGCUGGCUGUGUUACGUAUACAUAGGAUCCUGCUCCCAAUUUAAAUAAACACCAGGUGAGGGGAGGGGGAACUGAGGCACCAAAGCAAUGAUGCAAUUUGCUAUCAAUUAUACACAAACUUGGCAGGACUCGAUUUUCAUCAGUAAAUGUCGAUAAACGGUGGCUUCAUUUCACACUCGCAGACUGGUGAAAAAAGUAUUCCUGACCUUAAUCAAAAUGGAUAGAAAGGAGAUGUAAGGAAAGCAGUGCUGAUAGAGGUGUGUGACAACAGGCCGAACAGCCCUACAGAGCUGUGCUGGCUGGAGUUUGGACGGCGACUCCCAGAAACCCCAGGGGACCAGGAACCAAGGAAAAGGAACUGGCCAAGUGGAUGAGGGAGCUACGGGUGAGCGGAGCUGGGACGGAUGGCAGCUCUGCUGGCCGCAGUCCUACAGUCGUUACGUUUGUUGCGGUGGUGGUUAAACUACACUAUAAUAAUAGUCAACCGUCAUUAAUAAAUUGUUUGCCCUCCACGCUCCUAAUUUCACACAAUCCUGAAAAUUUAAAUCGUUAAGAAAAUCUAAACAAAUACUUAAAACUAAACAUUGAGAUUAUCCGUUGAAAUGACAAAUAAAUACAAAUCGAAUUCUGCCAAACCUCAUCGUGCAGCUGGCUGGUGACCGAGCUAAGAAGAGAAGCCAGGUCUGUGUAGUCUUGGUUAAACACUGUAGCUGCUUGACUGUGCGGUGUACCACCAACUACCCCCUGGCAUUCAGCUUGCUAUUAUAAGUCAGCAACUUAAGCAUGCGCUUAAAUCUAUCCCUACUUAGUGAAGCACCAAGACCAAUUCUUAACAGGAAACAAAGGCCAAUUAUUGUUAAUCAACAGUGCUGUGGUGCUGGCUGGGAGCUAUAAUCAUCACACCCCAAGACCAGGUGCUACACAAACACAGAAAAGGAAGGUUCGUGCCCCAAAUGAGAAACAACCGGUGGAUACAGACAGAUGGAUGGGGAGUGCAGGGGAAGGAGACAGUCCUGGGGAGCCCAGCUUCAGUAGCCUCAGUGUAGGUAAUGGUCUCAAUGGGACCAUGUACUCUGUUGAAUCAGGGCCGGAGCUGGCUGCCUCCAAAAUCCGAGAUGGGAAUGACUCAUUCUCCUGGCUGGCUGGCCAGCAGGCUGCAGCCAGAGGAUUGCACAUUCCUCUAACCGUCUGGUUUUAGAAGUCGCACAGGGUGCGGCUCCCACCCCUCCUUUGGGAGAGGAACUGACAGCAACUUUGCCUCAUAGCUGGAACAUCUGUUUCCUGAUUGCCAGCCGUUCAUGUCCUCCCAUUACUCCUGGUUAUACCCCCGCAUGCCACCCCGAGCCGUUCCACUCCUUCCUCGGCUUAAUCCCCUCCAGGCUCUUCUACACGGCUGCCACAGCGGUCCUUAGCAGGGGUUUGGCCAAACGAUACAUAUUUAGUUCUUUUAAUCUUUCUCCAUAAAUCACCGUCCUCAGUCCCUCCUCCCAUGCAACCUUGCACUGCCUCUGAAAUUCCCCAACUGCUUGGGAAGAUUUAGUAGCAUUUUCAGCUGCUCCAGGGCUAAUAAUGCAGAGUGUUUGAUCUCUAGGAGGGUGGCAGGAAGCGUUAGGGAUUUAACGCUUUGAGGUUCUGCCAUUUCUUAAGCCAGCUUGAUUGUUUUGUUUUAGGUCUUAAGGAGCGUUUCUGCUGGAGAGGAGGAGAACAUAACCAGCCACUGGCACCUUAGCUCCUGUGGCCCAGCUCAAGGGCACGGGGGGAGCUUUACCUCCUGAGAGCUAGGAUAGAAGGAGGCCACCGAGCCUGCAAUGAUAGGAAUUCCCAGCAGCUACAGGGCAUGCAGGAACUUCUCAAAGAAGGAAGACUGUAGCGGUCAAGGAUAUUCAGGGAUACAGAAAGCAAGCUGGAAAGGAGGAUGUCUUCCUCCAGAGGCCAAACAGGAGGGGGAGAGGAAGUAUGGCCUUGUGAUUGAGAGAGACUCUCGGGAGAGAGUGAGGCUCUGCUCCCUCCCCUGCCACUGAUUCCCCGUGGGACCUUGGUCAUGUUACUUUUAAUCUGUGCCUGUUUCUCCCCCUCUCUGUAAAAUGGGGACAAUCCUUCUCUAUUUGCAGAUGCUUUUAAACAUGCAGGUAUAUAGGAGACACCAGAAUACCACAGAUGUACAGAAUGAAUUACGAUGCUGGAAAUCAAGAGGUACCUGCAAUGGUAGGAGGGUACGAGUAAUUGGAUUCACAGAGCAUGGUAGUCUACUGUUUGAACUAAAAGACCUUUACUUACACAGAUGUGGCUUAAAGGGCCUGUAAGAUUGAGCAGUGGGGUGAGAAGAGCUUUCCCUUCACUUGAAUAACACAGCGAGCCCUUCUGGGGCACAGACAGGAUGGAAGAGCUCCCGAACAGAAUAAACACACUCAAGUGUUGGUGAACAAACACAUGCUGGAAGUGUUAUUAGAUGACAAACCAUGCAAUCUAGUGGACACAGAUACGACCUGACUGGAUGGGCUUCACAUCCAGAAUCAUCCUGGAGCCCGGACAUCUGCCACGCCACCGGCUUCGGUUCAGCAAGGCAGAACGGAGCAAAUGCUUUUCAUAUGAACACAAGGAAGGAAAGAUUAAAGGAGAAAUAGCAGAGGACAUCUGCUAGGGACCAGCCCCCCUCAAAGGGGAGUGAACACAGCAAUUCCUGGAUCUACUCCGAUAGUUCUCGAAACUCCAGAUCACAGCACUUGGGAGGCAUUUUAAAUAUCCGGACAUCUGCUGUGUAACAAAUGCAGCCAAAUUUUCACGAAGGAGAUUCUAAGAUAGAAAGACGACAAGUAAAACCUGCUGGAAAAAAAUUAAAAUCAGAAGAGAAGCCAUCCUGAAUUUAGCUUUGACUAACAAGACAACAGGGACUGAAAAUGUGAGAAUAAAGAAAAAGCGGUGCCUGCACUGACAGGCUCUGAUUUGACCAGAGUAAGGAAUGGGCUCAGUUCAGGGGGUCCAAGCACAGCUGAAGGCCAGGAUGUUGCAUUUUGGGGGAAGAAAGAAAUGAAGGGAGGGAUCCUGACACUACUGAAGCCAAUGGGCAGAUGCCCACUGAUUUCCAGUAGGGUUCAGCUCUCACCGUAAGUGAACACAGUAUUAUAGUAAGCAGCAUUAAAACCCCAUGUACAUACACAAAGAGUGGAAGUGGCAGAAAGGAUCAGACCCACAAAGUAGGGAAGUCUUAAACAAGGCAAAGGCACAGUCGUCAUCUUGAACAAUGCCAGGAACACGGGUGGCCAACACGGUUCCACAUGGGAGCUUUCAAAGAAUGAGGUAAGAAAAUCCUUGCUGCAGUUACUGGAAAAGGAGUAGCAGCAGCAGCCAGAAAACAGCACAAAUGAACAGCCCUAGGGGUCAAGGUGAAGGAAUAGGACUUUUAUUGUUCUGUUUUGAGGAAGUCGUUCUACAGUAACAUGAGUACGUGUUAAGGGGAGGGUGAAAAGAAGUGCAACUCAAAAAAGGAUGAUGCAUUUUGAAAAAAUCCUUGCUUAAGAGAAAUAAGAAGCUGAGAUCAACAGGAAAUGGAUAAGGACCUUACAAAAGAAUGAGCACUGAGAAAUGUAAGGCUAUUUUCUGAACCCACAAACACAAAUCAACUGUUCUUGCUGGCAAAGACUGCAAUGUAACCGAUCUCGAUGAGAAAAAAAAGGCUCGUUAGACUGCCUUAGACUUGAAGCUCUUCGGAGCAAUGCCUAUUCUGUGUUUGCCUAAAACAGGGGGGCUCCAGUCUUGGCUGGUUUCAGGGCAGUGCUGUAAUAACCAUGAUUUAUUCAUCAUGGAAGUGAUCUUGACUUGCGUUCUGAGAAUGUCAUUACUGGGAACAGCACCACACAUAAGAGGGGGCUCGGCAAAAUGCAGCUUGCUUGAAGUGACUUUCCAUUCCCAAGUCGCUGAAUAAACUAAGCAGCAUUUCACUGGAGCAGAGAGAAAUGCAACCACUGCAAAGGGUCCCAAUGCUUCCAACAGAUCUAAAGCAAUGAGGGAAAGGUUUUGGGAAGCAAAAUGUUCUCAAGAGGGACAAGGGAAGGGUGGAGGCUCAGCCAGAUGUGAGCGAGCAUAUUUCAAUGAGGCACAGGUGCUGUUCACUUCUGAUGCCUCCCCAGUGGAAGAUAAGGGCUCUCGGCCCCUUCAGGAUCAGGCCUAGAGAACCCCACGUUGCUCUGAUGCCCAGCAUCACCUGUGGGUUCCACCGCCAGAAUCUGGAUGUGCUCAUGACUGGGAUGAAUCGUCUCACUGCAAGGUGCUGGGAUACGUCAUUGCUAGUCAUUGCAAGAAAGAACAGGAGAACUGAGCUCAGUGAUUUCUUUGCCUUGCAGUUCAUCCCAGAGGAGUCUAUGUGGAUAGGGAUCUUUGUGUGUGGAAGUGAGACAAUUUGCAGAGUUCUUGCUACCGCAGACGUCAACGUGAAUGUGCAGGUUUGGAGAACGGGUGUAGAUUGACGUUACUGGUUAGAGAGUUGACAGAUUAUUCUUGAGCUCAAUAUUUACUGUAAAUAAUUCUUGAAAUCAACCCAGCCACGUCAGCAAUUCAUUCCAAGAAUAAUGUGGCAAGUAUCUGACAGGCACGGAUAGCUGCCAAUGUAGGAUCAACCCGCGAUGGUACUUAUUUUACAAGACAUUUUUAUUCUAUUUCACAGAUUUGACUAUUACAGCAGUGAAAUUAUUACAAGUGACUCAACAUUUAGGGUCAAAUUAAAAUAGAAAAAACACAAACACAAAGAAAAGUUACAUGUGAUGCAAUGUGUUUUAAGAACACAGAAAAAAUAUAUAAAAAUACGUUUGGGUCAAGAAUUUUGCAGACAACUUCUGACUUAGUUACACAGUUGACGCCACUUAAAAAGCACAGUAUUUGAAAAGUGUAAUUAGAAAUGUGAUAAAAUCCAACAGUAUAUAAAAGGCAAAAAAA